rnacentral:lncRNA from 1 species
GGCGGGAGCCGGGAGGAAGCCCCACGGAGACCCGGCUGCGGCCCGGGCGCUGUGCGCAGCCUCUCCUGGCCCCGGCUGACCUCCGGGCCCCUUUGAAUCCUCCCCGGAUCACCCGCCCUUCCUCUAGGGAUGGGAGGAGACCUUGGCCGAGGGUCCCCAGCCUGCGUGGCCGGAUGAAAGAGGGACCAGGGAAAUAAAACCUCCUUCUGCUUGAGGGCCAGGGGCCAGGCGGCGCUGGGCCAGAGGGAAGAAGUGCUGGAGCAGUCGCUCUCGGGAUCCGGGGUCCUGCAUUCCAGGGACCCUUAGUCCCCCCGCCCCGUGCAAUGACCCGGUGAUCACAGCUCCCUGUGUCUCUCUGCUGCGAUGACUCCCACCCUGGGAGAAAGGUUUCCACCAUGCAUGGCCCUCGCGCGUUUCCUUGUGUUGGUUUGGUUUGGUUGAGGAGGGAGUAUUGCAGAUUGCCGAAAAGAGGGUCUCCAGCUCCCAGGGUGUCGAUCAGAAUUGACUUCUUUGGCGUCGGGGAGCGGGAAGCAUGAAGCCGACCAGAGAGAAUUCGAUUUAUACCCUCCUUCUCAAGGGGCAGUCUACACCUGACAUUUGGAAUAUGAGCUCCUGCACCGCUAAAGCUCUGACACAUGGAAGACUGUAAACGAAGUAAAAGUUUAGUGAAUGGGUACAAUUAAAAUCAGAAAGUGCCUCAUUCAGUUGUCCUGGAUGGGCAGGACAUCCUAAAAGAAUAAGCUUAGUGUGCAGUGUGCCUUAAAUUCAGCCUCAAACAAGAAUAAUAAAAUAUUACGA